UUUAUGGAGAACUUGCUGAGGAC
rnacentral:piRNA from 1 species